CGCUGAUCGCUGCUGCUGUAAAUGGGAAAAUUAGUAAAACUUCCGGUGAGGCAGCGGAAGUAGUACCCCUGUUUUUUUGUGGUGAAGAGCCGAAGUAUUUUUCGGAUUGUUUAUUUUAUUGCUGUGUAAUGUCGCAAAAGUUUGACAGAUGUCGUUACGGAGCUCAGGUAUAACAUGUGCUGUUAGUGGAUGUCCACAUAACUGGUCUAAACUAAAUCAGUGGCGUAAACGUGAGUGUGUUGAACAUAAGCCUAAAACUAAAUCAGAGUGCUCCUGCCAACGGUGGUACAGUUUCCAUCGCCUCCCGAAAGACGACGAAUCAAGAAGAAAAUGGCUGAAGAAUCUAAACUUAAAAAAUCCCCCCAAACAACUGUUUGUGUGCUCGUUUCACUUCGUUGACAAGAAGCCAACACAGGAUAACCCGUACCCAACGCUCUUUCUGGGUUAUGAGAAGCAACCGGAGAAGACGAGACGCCGACCCAACAACAUGUCACAACAACAGAUGAGAUUGAGGUUUCUGGGGAGCCAUAUCCUACUUCACAGAUCUUCCAUGAUGCCCAAACACAGUGGUCAGACCCAGCAAUGAAGGACCACACCUACUCCAAAGCACCUACCACCACUGUUGCAGAUGUCUUAUUGACAGAUGAUGCAGACUGUCUGCUGUACACAGGGAUUCCACUACUUGACUUCAAAACCCUUGUGUCUUGCUUGCAACGUUUUGCCCCCAAAUCAUCAGUAUUGUCAGCAGAGGACCAAAUUCUAUUGACAUUGAUGAAACUCAGACAGAACUUUGUUAUAUGUGAUUUGGCAAAACGCUUCAAAAUGUCAUCUGGUCAGGUCAGUGAAACACUGCAAUUCUGGACAGAUGUGAUUGCUGAGCUCAAAAAGCAGCAUGUUUAAAACUAGAGGGAGGAAUAAUCUACCAGAGGAUGGCAGUACCUACUGCAAAUUUCCCAACAAGGGUUUAAGUAGAGAAACAAACAUUAAACCAGGUAAGAUGUUGCUGUAAGUGACUCAUGUUCCCCAAGACCCAGAGACGAAUGUAGAUGGAGGUGACUGGCGGUGCUGGUUCUGUGUAAUCCAGAGAGAGGAGAGGCUUUUCCAAAACGCCGCAAUGGAUACACUAUGCCACAUUCAACAGCUGAAUAACAGUUGGCUAAGGUGAUCAAUUCUCUAUCAAUAUACAGCCAUUGCUCAUCAUUUUUAGUCCAGGUAGUCAUUGUGUGAAAUUCAGGAAAAUGACGCUCAAGUACAGACUUUAUUGAAAGUCCGGGAAAAAAAAUGUUGCGGUGUUGAAGCAAUGUUAGACCAAAAUUUUACUUUUAGUCUGAAAAUGUAACUUUUACAGGCAUUUUUUUGUCAUUUGUCAGUCAUGCUAUUUUACAGGUGCAAUUUGAGCCAGUUGAUGAGGAUACAAUUGUCACUCCAUAUUUAAAGGCCUUGUAAACCAAAGUCAGAGAUUUGUUUGAAAACACUUUGUAUAGAUUAGAAAACUAUUCCUGAAAAUGUGAAAAUGCUGUGAACUUUGUGAUACUGAACUGUGGAGUUAAACCAUUAAAAGGGAUAUAAUUA